UACGUAGGGUGCGAGCGUUAAUCGGAAUUACUGGGCGUAAAGCGUGCGCAGGCUGUUCUGUAAGUCAGAUGUGAAAUCCCCGAGCUCAACUUGGGAACUGCGUUUGAAACUACAGGACUAGAAUAUGUCAGAGGGGGGUAGAAUUCCACGUGUAGCAGUGAAAUGCGUAGAGAUGUGGAGGAAUACCAAUGGCGAAGGCCAGCCCCCUGGGAUAAUAUUGACGCUCAUGCCACGAAA
rnacentral:rRNA from 1 species